CAGGAUCAAGCCAGUCAGCACUACAACAUGGAAAGGGCGGGGCCUCAUAGGCCCUAUCCACAGCUGCAGGGCGACUGGCAGCUGAUGACCGCUGGGGUCACAUGGGAGGUGAAUAGUGAAGCUGGGCUUCAGUUCUGGCCAUCCGGCACUUGUAUUUAAGCAUGACACUCUCCUGACUCCCUAACCUGUGGGAGUCCAGGGAUGUGAAGGUUCAAGUAACUCCUAGGAGGGCAAGUUCAACUUUAACCGAAAGGAACAUCAACACAGACGGCAAACACAGACCAAAGAGUCCUCAUAUGCUGUUACUCCGGAUAGCCUCCUUAGAUAUCCAUGA